AUCAUAGCUUUUCUCCUGUCCAGUUAUUAAAGUAAACAAAAAAAGCUAGGCAGCUGUGCUGAGACCUUCAAAUUUCCUGGCAAGGGUAAAGAAUUCACUUUUAAAAUGGAAGUACCUGGAAAGCCAAUGAAUGUAGCAGCUUUGAGAAUCUGCAAGGUAGAAUUUUAACUGAAUAUGGCAGGUCCUCAGCAUGAUCAUCCAGGCAGUUGUGCUCUGCCUGGGACCAUAAUACGUUGCUGUCUUCUCCGAAGAGGCCAAAGGACAGCUUGAAGUUCUGUGGAUGAAAUUAUCUUCAAGGCAGGAGUAACUGACUAAACUUCUGUAAAAGUUCUCUUUAAGUCAUUGAGUCUAAGGAACCCCAAGAAUUUUGUUCAGCUGCCCUGCAGUUUGGACUGGAGAAGAAAUGACAACCCCAUCUUAUUUGACUUCUUCCGUGUCCCAACCUACAUGGUUUUGUCAGCAAAUUGAAGGAUUUAGAGGCAGCCCGGAACUAUACAGGGAUUAGCUGCAAUUUCAGUGGGCACCUGCUGUAACUGGGCCACAGCUGAGAAUGUCUGUACAUUGGUUUCAUCAGAUGCUGCUAAAAGAUUUCAGGACUAUUGAAGUUUUGGGAAAACUCCCAUGUGUUUGGGUGGCAAAGAUAUAAGAUGA